rnacentral:rRNA from 1 species
UACGUAGGUGGCAAGCGUUGUCCGGAUUUACUGGGCGUAAAGAGCGCGCAGGCGGUCGUUCAAGUCGCGUGUGAAAGCCCCCGGCUCAACUGGGGAGGGUCACGCGAUACUGAUCGACUCGAAGGCAGGAGAGGGUAGCGGAAUUCCUGGUGUAGCGGUGAAAUGCGUAGAUACCAGGAGGAACACCGGUGGCGAAGGCGGUUUCCUGGCCGAGUACUGACGCUGAGGCACGAAAGCGUGGGGAGCGAACGGG